UACGGGGGAGCAAGCGUUGUUCGGAUUUACUGGCGUAAAGGGCGCGUAGGCGGUCGUGACAAGUCACUUGUGAAAUCUCCGGGCUUAACUCGGAACGGUCAAGUGAUACUGUCGGACUAGAGUACAGAAGGGGCAACUGGAAUUCUCGGUGUAGCGGUGAAAUGCGUAGAUAUCGAGAGGAACACCUGCGGCGAAGGCGG
rnacentral:rRNA from 1 species